rnacentral:tRNA from 2 species
GCCGGGUUGGCGGAGUAGUCAAUCGCUCGUGACUGUAAAUCACGCACCUUCGGGUUUCGGGAGUGCAAAUCUCUCACCCGGCACCA